CCAGUCCUGAACUCCUGGGCUCAUGCAAUCCUCCUCCUUCUGCCUCCCAAAGUGUUGGGAUUACCAGCAUGAGCCACUGUGCCCAGCCCCACAUUCUAGAUUUUAUCACCUUGCCUAUUUGUGGUUUCACUUAAUUUGUACCUCUAUCCUCUAUAUUUCUUAUAGAUUAGAAAUUAGAGCUAAAAGCUUGAUUAUAUUCAGGGUUUGAGGACUUCAUUAAUGUCUGGUGAUCUCUUGUCUUUUUUUACUUGUGGAUGUUUGAAAACUGUGUGCAUGAGCCACACUUGUUAAUUACUGGACUUCAAUAGGGUAACCAGAAAUGAGCUAGCCUUUGUCAGUAUCAAUAGGUCUUUUUUUCUGGGGCCAUUUAAUUUCUUCAAAGAUGAAUGUUGCAAUCUCCUAGCUGAGGGUAUAAUCUUGGCUGCUGAUGUUAACACCAGUAUACAAGAUGGAGGCUUCCACAAGUAUCCUAUUUUCAACUCCACGUCUCACUCACUGUCUACUACACCUGGUCUUCUGAGCCUCAACAGUCUGUAUUUCCAGUUGUCUCUUGAGGGUGAUGGUGGAGGUCUGUGGGAGAGGGGAGUGGUCACCUAGCUUUAUAGGAUGGGUACCUAGAGUGUGACUACUCUGUAUAUAGAUUUUCAACUAACUACCCUUGUUUUCUGACCCAGGUCUCAUUCAUACUUCCCAUGGCACCUGUUGCCUUUCUGGGGUUCUGUGUAACAAAGCAGCUUGCUUCUCGUUGAUAUGCUCCUUGGUAAGAACUUAGGUUAUAACCUAGUUCAUUCAGCUAAAGGAGGUACUACUCCUAAGAAAAAUAAAAAAAAAAAACAAAACAAAAC